CCUUGUUCCUUUCCUUUGUUCCAAAAUGUGGUGCCUGGGUAGGAAAAAGCCCCACACCAUUCAUGAUGUUAACAAUAGCAGCAUUAACAGUCAUUGGACUCCCACCGAGUGUGUUAUUCUUUAAAUUAGAACCCAUGAAUAUAAUGAGAUGGAUUUUCACAGGAACAAGGGCAGGCUGAAACAAAGAGAUAAAGAAACUGAGGCUCAAUGAACUUGUAACGCUUUAGUGUCAGAGCUCUAGAAUGGGUGAAGGCCAGAUUCAGACCCAGGCAUCGUGACUCCCAAGUCUGCUUGUGGAUCCUUGAAAGCAAGGGUGAGCCAUAAGCAUUGCACCUUUGAGAGAACUGUCUUGUGGUGAUCACUUAGCUGCUGACAUGGUGGGAUGGAGGAUUCCAGAAUGCGUCAUGACUCACUGCCAUUGUGUUUACAGACUUACAGCAUACCAUGAAGACUCUACAUUAAAGCCACUUCUUAAAGCAAAUGCCAUGUCCUACAGUGCCAUCUGCAGAGAAGCAGUUUGCACUUGACAGAAAUCAAGGUCUUCUAAGCCCCAAGUUAAAGAACUCUAUUCAGCCGGGCGCGGUGGCUUAUGCCUGUAAUCCCAGCACUUUGGAAGGCCGAGGCGGGCGGAUCAUCUGAGGUUGGGAGUUCAAGACCAGCCUGACCAACAUGGAGAAACCCCGUCUCUACUAAAAAUACAAAAUUAGCCUGGGGUGGUGACACACGCCUGUAAUUCCAGCUACUAAGGAAGGCUGAGGCAGGAGAAUUGCCUGAAUCUGGGAGGCGGAGGUUGCAGUGAGCCGAGAUCGUGCCAUUGCUCUCCAGCCUGGGCAACAAAAGCGAAACUCCAUCUCUAAAAACAAAAACAAAAACAAAAACAAAACUCCAUUCAAAAGUAAAGUAGAAACACUAUCUUGAUGCACCAAAAGACCAACUGCUCACAACUUUGGUUCCAAGGUCUGGAGAAUUUGCUGAGUCUGUGAGGCCUGGAGUUUCACAGCCAGUAUCCAAACAGGGACUAUUUCUGAUUAAUGUGUUGCUAGGUAACUCAUAAUUAUACAAGCAAAGAAGCAAGUUCAAUGUAAUAUAACUCACAUUGAUUUUUUUGGCUAUGCUGUAAGAGCUUGAUGUUAAUGUAUAGGAAAAAAAUUCCCAAUAUCCCCCAAACAUUUUGUUCCAAUAAAUACUUCUUAAUAUUUUGAAAUCACCUGGUUGUUCUUAUAGAUCUGAAAGUAUUUGAAACACAUUUUUAUUAUGAAUCAUGAUUUAGGCUCCUGAUAGACAGUUUUGUGAGCAUACUGACUUCUCUAUAAAUAUUACCAGCUCAUUCAAACUAAGUGGAGCAAGUGAAUAGAUUUGUGGUCCUUUCCGUACAGACUUAGAAACUUCCCGGUUUUAUUUUGGUCUAAUUAUAGGUUUUGACUUUUUCAAGGUACAUAAUCAAAGUCUGACCCCUAAAAACGUCUAAUAAAGCUAUGCUUUAAAGGCCAAAGAAAUAAACACAUUAUUUUAAGUGUCAUGGAGUUAGUGCAAAUCCAUGUAUCUUUGCAGGCCAGGGGGUGUUUUCUACCAGAUGAGGGCCUAAGGCAAUGAGGCGGCACAGACAUAAUAAAAGUCUGACGCAGAGAGGAUUUGAAUACCAGCUAGAGUAGUGGAAACAUGUUGUCAAUAAAUGUCUCAGGUCAAGAAACACACAAAAUGAGAAGAAAUCGUAGCAACCACCUUGCAGUGACCAAAAAAAUCUAUAUAUAUUGUCGGGAUAAUUCUGAGAAUAAAGCAGUACUAUGAUGCUAAAAAGAUGGUCUUCCUAAAUUGCAAUAUGAAUGACUGCACGUUAGAAAAGCAUGUAUUUUGGACCAACGUUGUGAAACUAAGCUGUCUUGGGACACCAGGCAUGAAGGCAAUGGGGCACAUUGGUUACGAGUUCUGGGUUUGGCCAGGGUGUGAAUUCCAACUCUCAUUGACCUUGAGGAUGUUAUUUCAAUUUUUUGUGGUUUAGUUUUCUUAUCUGUAUCUCACAAGGUUAUCAGAAAGAUUAUAUAUAAUCAUGUAUAAAGCUUGAC
rnacentral:lncRNA from 1 species